rnacentral:rRNA from 1 species
GAUGAACGCUGGCUACAGGCUUAACACAUGCAAGUCGAGGGGAAACGACGGGGAAGCUUGCUUCCCCGGGCGUCGACCGGCGCACGGGUGAGUAACGCGUAUCCAACCUGCCUCUGACCGAGGGAUAACCCGUCGAAAGUCGGCCUAAUACCUCAUGGUAUCGUCUGCGGGCAUCCAACGACGAUUAAAGAUUUCAUCGGUCAGGGAUGGGGAUGCGUCUGAUUAGCUUGUUGGCGGGGUAACGGCCCACCAAGGCUACGAUCAGUAGGGGUUCUGAGAGGAAGGUCCCCCACAUUGGAACUGAGACACGGUCCAAACUCCUACGGGAGGCAGCAGUGAGGAAUAUUGGUCAAUGGGCGAGAGCCUGACCCAGCCAAGUAGCGUGCAGGAAGACGGCCCUAUGGGUUGUAAACUGCUUUUAUGCGGGGAUAAAGUGAGGGACGUGUCCCUCAUUGCAGGUACCGCAUGAAUAAGGACCGGCUAAUUCCGUG